rnacentral:lncRNA from 1 species
GUUUUCUUCUUUCAGCACUUACAGAUUAAUGAGAAUGAGCUGACCUUUUGAACUUUCUCCAGCCGUUGAAGGGUUAACAGAAUUAUGGCUCCGAAGGUUAGUCAUUCAAACGUACUUCUUAUCGUUUUUAUGUUUCUAUACAUUUUUUGAAGUAAAUGCUUUCCCUUUUGUUAGAAUUCAAACAAUAUGUACAUUGAGUAGUAAAGAGUCUUGUGUUCUGUUAUUCUAUUCUACUUAUUUAUUUUCGAUUGAUUAUAUUUUCUUUACUUAAAAAUUGGAAUUUUAGAAAGUAAAAGUUUUGGCACUGUCAUGCUUUUAGUUGUCAGAAGUGAAAUAUGAAAAAUCUGACGUCAGACGUCAACUUCGUGUAUUUACGUCGUCAAGUUUAUACCUUCGUUAAUUUACGUCUUGAAGUUUAUAAAUAAAUACAUUUCAUUCCAUGUUCUGUUUAAACUUUAUAAAUAAAUAUAUUCUUGCAGUGUGUGUAUAUGUGGCUAUAUGUCUGACUAAUGUGUGUGUGUCUGUAUUUAUUGUAUGUGUGUAUAAGUAGUUAUAUGCUUAUAUUAUCCAUUAUAGUAAUAUUUGUCUGUUGAAAUCCGUUUUAAGGCGGUCAAUAGUUUAAUUAAAGAUGUGUCUAUACAUGUAUAUAUAUAUAUAUAUAUAUGCAUGUGUAUAUAUACAUGUGUAUACAUAUAUAUGUAUACACAUGCAUAUAUAUAUAUAUAUAUAUAUAUAUAUAUAUAUACAAAAUUAGAGAGUGGAGGGUUAGGGUUUAAUUUUGUAGUAUUAAUUUAUGUAAUAUUAUUACCCUUACCCAUUUAAUACAAUAGAUGAACUGAUUGCUUGACAAUUUCUAACAUCUAUGUAUUAAUUUUUGUUGGUACCUAUCUAGCAGUAUAUUGGAUAUAUAUUAUCCCAUGGUGGGUUGAAUUUUCAACCCCUAUCUCAUUUUAUAACCUAUAUAUAUAUAUAUAUAUAUAUACAUGUAUAGACACAUCUUUAAUUAAACUAUUGACCGCCUUAAAACGGAUUUCAACAGACAAAUAUUACUAUAAUGGAUAAUAUAAGCAUAUAAAUACAGACACACACACAUUAGUCAGACAUAUAGCCACAUAUACACACACUGCAAUAAUAUAUUUAUUUAUAAAGUUUAAACAGAACAUGGAAUAAAUUUACACGCGUUUUGAUAAAUUCUACGGAAAGAAACGAAGGUGGUCGAGUGACGUCAAAUUGACGUCACACUUUUUCUACUUUCCUCCUGACAACUAAAAGCAUGACAGUGCCAAAGUUUUUUUUACAACCGCGAUUUCCGUUUUUGUUUACGUGAAAUUAUUUUAAGAAAUCAUUUUUUUAAGAUUUGUCUGUUAUUUCUAGCACAUGGAGAAACUUCUAGGCUUAACUUCAUGUGCUGCUUGAAAGUCACCUAAAAAAGAUUCUGGGGUCAAUACAUUCGACUAAAAAUUUCUCAAGGAGGUGCCCCAGUAUAGCCGCUGUCCAAUUACUGAAACAAGUAAAGAGAUUUUUUUAGAAAAAAAAAAUCGAAGAAUAACCAAAAAAUAUAACCCAGAGGGUCAUAAAAAAUUUUCAAGAGAUUUUGCUUUUAUUUCUAGCAUGUGGAGAAACCUCCUAGGCUUAACUUCAUGCGCUGGUUGAAAAUCCUUAAAACAAAAUUCUGGGGUCGAUACAUUCGACUAAAAAUUCCUCAAGGUGGUGCCCCAGCAUGGCCACAGUCUAAUGACUGCAACAAAAAAAAAAACUGAAAAAUAUAACCGUGGGGCUUUGUCCACUUUCACACUUUAAGUAUAGGGCUUUUGUCCGAGGGGCUUUUGUCCGAGGGGCUUUUGUUUGUAGGGCCUUUGUCCAAGGAAACUUUUGUCCAGAUCUUGCCCAAAACAGGCCUUCUGCGAGGUCUUUCGACCAACUAGAAAUAGUAGUUAAAUUUCUCCUGGUCCACAGCCUGCCGUCUCUGUGAUAGGGAUAGGAGAUACAGUGCUUAAUGUUUGCUGGGGUAGGCUAUUUCUCACUGAAUGGUGAUAGUUUGAGUACCUUUGAGUUAGAGCCAACUUGAGGCCAAAAACAACAUUCAAUUCCUCUCAACAUAUAUGCUGUAUUCUUUAUAUCCAGCCUAUUUCUACUGUUCAGAUUGUGCUGUUUAUAUCAACUUUUGGUAUCUGUGCAUGUGUAUACACAUCAAAGAAAGACAUGCCUGUACAGGAAUCUUCCUUUCUGGAUAAUAUCCUCAGGGAUGGUAUCGAUUGCUGAGAAUGUAGAACGUUGAUUUUAAAGAGUAUAAGUAAGUGCAAAACAAGUUUAAACUGAAGUGUUAAGAAAGAUUAAGAUCAAUAGAGGAAUCUUUAGCAGUGAUAACUUAUCUUUGUUGCUUUAUAGCGAUAUGUGUGAUACCUUUGAAACUGCUACAAAAACUGAGUGAGGAAGUACUGUGAAAAGUAGCACAUUUGAUACAUCAAUGAUUUAAAACUGUUUCUGCAAUACACGAUAAUGUAUGGAUUGCCCACUGAGAAUAAUGUUAAACAAUAUAUAUUGCAAAGAGCAUGGAACUGUAUAAAUAGCACUCGCACACGCUCUCUCUCUCUCUCCCCUUAUAAUCGUGCUAAAUGACAUCAACCUUUGUGAUUUCACAUCCCAAUGAGAAUAUAAUGUAGAUAAGCAAUGGAGGAAGCCUCCGUGCAUUUGCUUGAUCUGCAAAAAAUUGCAGCCAAAUCGUCCUCAAAUUUUAGUCUACUGAAUUAAAAAUUGUUAAAUACAUAUGAUUUAAUACAUAUGAAUUAAUACUGAUUAUUGAAGGCCAGGCAGUAAGGCAAGAUGAUGACGGUAAGAAUGCCGGUCAGAUUAUAAAUUAUGGAUACAGAAAUAUUUCUCUCGGCACAUGCGAACACUAUAGAGACUGAAGCAGCAUCUCUACACGAAACUAUAGGCACAAAGCCUAAAAUUUUGCGGGAGGAGGCAAGUUGAUCACACCGACUCCAGUUCAUAAUUGGUAUUUAUUUUAUCGACCCCGAAAGGUUGAAAAGUAAAGUCGACCUAGGCGGAAUUUUAAAUCAGGACGUAAGGACGGACGAAAUGUCGCUAAGCAUUUUGCCCGAUGUGCUAACGAUUCUGCCAGCUCACCGCCUUAGAAGUCUCUAUAAUGAAAAAUUUGCCGUUUUCGGAUACGGAGAUUCCGAAAAUUGCCAAAAAUCAGCAUUUUGAAAUUUCUGCCCCCUACCCCCAAUUUCUUAAUUUUUCACCCUAACCCUAACCUUAACCCUAACAUCCUAACCCUAACCCUAAAACCCUAACUCUAACUCUAACCCUAACCCUAAAAUCCUAACCCUAACCCUAACCCUAACUAUAUAACUUUUGGAAUUUUUUUUCAGAAUCAUAAUCUCCGUCUUUUCCCGCAUAUUUUGAAAAAAAAAUUCUGAAAAAUGUUAAAAGUGAAGAAAUUAGGAGGGGUGGGGGUAAUUUCAAAAUGCCGAUUUUUGCCAAUUUUUUUUUGCAGAUUCGUAUUCUCCAUAGCCGAAAACGGGCGUUUGUGUAGAAAAAAUUAAAUUUUUAAAAAAUGGGGUGCUUUGGGGGUGGGUACAAAAGGAAGUCUUGCUGAAAAAUGUUUUUAAAGUCUUCCUAAUAUUUUGCAAGUUCCCACAUAGACUCUGCCAAACAACAUUAUUUACAAAUAAUCCAGAAAAACGCACUUAACACCAAUAAUAAUACUGACGUCAACAGCAGAAAUAAAAACAGAAAGUAGUAUUAUCUUCCUUCCCAACUUCACAGACCUUGAAAAAUAAUUUGAAACAAAUGGUUCACACACAAAAUCAAACAUUGUAAACAUGAUAUGAAUCUAAAAAUUUUGCAAAGCAACACUAACGGCAUUAAAACUCCUUUAUAGAAUUAAAAGAUUUUAUCGUCACGUAAUUAAUAUAGCAAUAAUUCAGGAAACAUACUAUCAAAACAACGAACAUUCACCAUACUAAAUUACACUCAGACCGAACUUGAAAGAUCCUUUUAUAACGAGGCUAGUUAUAUAAUUUACAGGAAAAAUAGCCCUUGUAUCCAAUUCAAUAUACAUCACCAAUAUCAUUUAUAAACUAAUCGAAAACCAUACUGUUCUAAGAAAGCUGGUUUUCAAAAUAAAAACAAACACAAAGUACAUUGAUAUAAUAUAAAUAACCACUUACAUAUGCGUACAUACAACGUUACAUAGUUACACCCAUUUUCCAUCCGAGUUGAAAGUUCGUGAAGCUCGACUUUGUCUUUCACUUUUUGGAGAUAGAUAAAAUAAUAUCAGUCAUGUUCGAUGACUGAUAUAAUUAACUACCUUUCUGUGGUAUUAGUUUAACGAAUAACUUUAUUGAUGACUUCAUCGAUAAAUGUGCUUUGGUGAGCCAUUCGAACGUCGAUCGCUGAUUGUUUUGGUCGAUUUAUCCAGGUUAGGCGUCUCUACACUAACACACUAUCAAUGGUGUUGCUGUUCCCGAAAGCGCAGGAGUAGCUGUGUGGUAAGAAGUUUGCUUCUCAACCACAUGAUUCCGGGUUCACUUCCACUGCGUGGCACCUUGGGCAAGUCUCUUCUAUAACCUCGGGCUGACUAUCUAUAUAAAAUAUGUGUGUACGCGCGCGUGUGUCCCACAACCGGUGUUGGUGAAUUUACGACUCCGUAACUUAACGGUUCUGUAAGAGAGACCGAUAGAGUAAGUACCAAGGUUAAAAAGAAAAUAAGUACAGGGGUCGAUUUGUUCGACUAAAAUUCGUUAAGGCGGUGCCCCAGAAUGGCCGCAAUCUAAUGACUGAAAUAAGUAAAAGAUAAAAGUGUUAUAUGAGCGUCAUGGGAUUUUCAUGGCAAAAUACAAAGAUAGUUUCUUGUUCCACCUUUCUGGAUAAUAAUACAUACAAAAACAUCUGAAACGAAAAUAUGAAAGUCUGUAACCAAGCAUAAUUGUUAUACAUCGUAAUAAUAUGCAUAGAAUAAUUAAUUAAAGGACAUUACAAAUUGCUUUUUGAGUUGGUCAUUUAUAUAUGUGAUUAUGUCGUUACAAUAUAUAUAGUACAACUAACUGCUUCGAGAAGUAGUACAAAAGUUAUUUGUUGAUCUUAGGUCCAUUCUGUAUGAUAGUUUCAACUGCGAGAUACUACUGAAGAGAGACAGAGUGAGUCUGGGUAAGCAUCGUGAGAGUAAAAACGUAUUUUUGCGCAUUUACCAGCAUACUGUGAGUUCUGUGCUCUUUGGCUAGACGCCGAAUAACGUCUAGAUAAGAGAAAAAACGUAUUAGAUGAGAGAAAGAAAUCCCCUGUAUCAGUUCUGAUCCAUGUAUAUCUCGUGAAAGAUCAAGAUGUCAGUUUAUUCUCAUAGUGCAAAAGGAGAAAACAAUAGGCCGAUGACUUUUGGAAAAAUGUAUAUUUGGUUUCAAAUCCUAGCUUAGGUAUUUUGGUAGUUUUUCGCUACACACACAUCUCACUCACUCACUAUCUAUCUAUAUGUGUGUGUGUGCGUGCGUGUGUGUGUGCGUGCGUGUGUGUGUGCGUGCGUGUGUGUGUGCGUGCGUGUGUGUGUGCGUGCGUAUGUGUGUGCGUGCGUGUGUGUGUGCGUGCGUGUGUGUGUGCGUGCGUGUGUGUGUGCGUGCGUGUGUGUGUGCGUGCGUGUGUGUGUGCGUGCGUGUGUGUGUGCGUGCGUGUGUGUGUGUAUCUUUGUAUACACACACGCAUACGCACCCCCCACACACACACAUACACGUUCCAUUCAUACAAUCAAGUGCUCCCUGAGGAUUGGUCUUGGUUAAGCAUCUAUAUGCAUUUAGAACAUCUAUAGCAGGGUUCCAAACAACUGUAAGGGUGAAACGGAUGUAGGAACUUUAAUACAAACAUGUAUUUAUCCUUAUUUUUCAUAUAUACGAGGUUUGGCAGAAAAGUUCAUAGGCUGACCAAGAUGCACUCAUGAACUCUUACGAAAUAAGGCUUAUUUAUCAACAUAGUUCCCUUUGCGGUCCACACACAUCUUCCAUCGGUGUUGCAGUGCUUGGAUCCCAUUGGUGAAGAAACUUUCAACCUUAGUGGUGAGAAUUGCAGGACGUCCAGACGUUGGGUCGUCUUCAAGACUCACCCUUCCUCACUUAAAUUCAACUGCCCACUUUUGCACUGUUCCUAAAGCUGGAGCGUUAUCCCCUAAUGUAGCAACAAUGUCAGUAUAAAUGUCCUUGGGAGUAAACCAUCUUUUCUGCAAGUACUUGAUAACAGCGUGAUGCUAAACUUUGUCCAUUUCCAAAAGAAUUCACUAGCAGUUACUAUUAAAGUCUUCUUUGAACAGUCGGAUGUCCGUUUACCUGGAAAGAAACAAUGCAAUUAUUAAUAAGAAGAGAUUAAAUUAAUGCAUGCAAUAUUUCACUGCUCUAGCAUCACUCCUUCACAGUCAGCCUCGUAUAUACAAAACAUCAACUUGUCGGUUAGAUGCAUUUUCACCAUACCUGUUUGGGCGCUCAGAACGUAAAGUGGAGUAAAAACAGCAAAGCAUUUUGUCCAUUGCUAUAAAAAUUCGUCAAAAGGCAAGGUUGAACUCAGAAUGUAAAAAUUAUCUUUUUUCUAAUGCUCUAAGCGACUCAGCCAAUUCACUACUUUUAAUUGAUUCCGCCACUUCUCAAACUCAAAGCCUUGCGUUAAUGUUACAAAUUAUUUUUGUUAUUUUGACUCUCUCCUAACUUCAAAGUCAAUGAAUAUAACUUGUCUGUAAUUUUCUACAAAACUGUGCAAUUCAUUAAUGUUCUUUGAUAUUAUCUGUUUAUAUCACUUCUAAGCACAUUGAUAUCACAUCUAACCUUGUUGUUUGUAUCACGUCUAGUCAUGGCUAUACAAUUUUAUACAGUCUCGAGGGAUAAAAUAUACAGCAGAGAUUUACGUUAAUACGAAUAUUGAAUAUGUACAUAAGUGUAGAUACAUGAAAUUGGUUGUGUAUAUAUUUCAAUGAGUGCUUCUGUAAGCGAAUUUGCAUGAGUGUAUAUGUGUAGGAGAGAGAGAGAGAGAGAGAGAGAAAGAGCGAGCACUUCUUCUGUAUAUAUAUAUAUAUGUGUGUGUGUGUGUGUGUAUGUGUGUGUGCGCGCGUGCGUGUGUGUGUGUGCGUGUGUGUGUGUAUGCAUGUAUGUAUUAUGCAUGUAUGUAUUUAUAUAUGUAUAUGUGAGUGUAAGUGUAUAAGUGUGUUCAUCUGUCUAUAAGAGUUUGUAUGUAUGUAUGUAUGUAUGUAUGUAUGUAUGUAUGUAUGUAUGUAUGUAUGUAUGUAUGUAUGUAUGUAUGUAUGUAUGUAUGUAUGUCUCUCUGUAUGUAUGUCUAUCUGUAUAUAUGUAUGUAUGUAUGUAUGUAUGUAUGUAUGUAUGUAUGUAUGUAUGUAUGUGUGUGUGUGUAUAUGUGCGCGCAUGUGUGUAUUCAUGUAUCAGUGAUGUUAUCUUAACCACCCACUUUCCCCUAAACUCAUACUGAAUGCUUCACUCAGUCCUUUCUAUCCUCAAUGCCAUUCCACUGGAAAUUCCAUUCCAUCUGCAAUGUUGCUGCUGGUGUCAACUUGUACAUGCUUUAACUGAACGUAAACUAACCAUAUUAAUAUCACUGGUCUCUGAUGGCGUGUGAAGCGCUUGGGGAUACGUCAACACUCCUGAGAGAACCAUAACAAAACCAUAUUAUUUGUUGUAAAUAGUGGGUGCACAUUGUUUAACAUAAUUUAAUCCAUAGGACCUACCAUAAAGCGGCGGGUGGUAGAAUAGUUAGAGAAUCGGGUAGAAUGUUUUGCUGUAGUUAUUUCAUCUCUGUGCGCUGAGGUCAAAUUAGCCUUUUAUCCUUUUCGAGUUCGAUAAAUGAAAUAACAGUUCAGGGCGUUGGGUUGUCAGAGCGUCGGACGAGAUGUCUUGUGAUAUCUGUUUUGGCUCUCUACACUGAAAAAAAAUAUGGGGGGGGGUUACUUCUGCCAGGAAUCGCGACCGACAGACAGUAUCAACAAUGGAAAACAAAAUCAAUGGAAACUGUGUUUUUGGUUCGAUCGAAAAAUCGGCUGCCACCGUGUCACCUUUAGCAAUAAUUAAUGGACACUUAUCAUAAAUAAUCCAUCCUAAACUAUUUGAAUUGAAUAACAAAUCCUGCAAUGACUGACAUAAUUUAUAGAUUCCAUAAUGCAAGACACGAAUAAUGGAUCCAUCUCUGCCAACUAAUGAAUGCUACAUUGGUUGACAUAACUAAUUGAUGCAACACUACCUGAAAUAAAUAACGAAUCCUACGCUGCCUAUGAUAACAAAUUCAACCGACCAAUGUCUGUAUAGAUUUAUACAUUCUACCUUGCCUAGGGCGUGGCUGUGUGCUAAGAAACGUACUUCGCAACCAUGUGGCCAUUGCUUCAAUCCCAUUUGGGCAAGUGUCUUCCACUAAAGCCCCGGGCUGACUAAAGAUUUGUGACUGCAUUUGGUAGACUGAAACUGAAAGAAACUCGCCACACACACACACACACACACACACACACAAACACAAAUACACAGAGAAAUGUAUGUCUGCAUGCAUGUGUGUCUAUGUUUUUGUUUGACUACCACCUCCGUUUGGCAACCGAUGCUGGUUUGUUUAUGUUCCCGUAGCUUAGCGGUUUCGAUGAAAGAGACCAAUAGAAUUAGUAUCAGACUUACAAAAUUAAGAAAUGGAGUCGAUUUGUUCGACAAAAGGCGGCAAGCUGGCAGAAACGUUAGCACGCCGGGCAAAAUACUUAGCGGUAUUUCGUCUGCCGCUAUGCUCUGAGUUCAAAUUCCGCCGAGGUCGACUUUGCCUUUCAUCCUUUCGGGGUCGAUUAAAUAAGUACCAGUUACUCACUGGGAUCGAUAUAAUCGACUUAAUCUCUUUGUCAGUCCUUGUUUGUCCUCUCUGUGUUUAGCCCUUGUGGGUAGUAAAGAAAUAGAUUUGUUCGACUAAACCCUGCAAGCCGAUUCCCAGCAUGGUCGCAGUCCAGUGACUGAAACAGAUAAAAGAUAAAGUUGCUUUUUUGACAGUUAUAACAGAGGAAUCCUACUCUAGCUCACAUAAUUAAUAAAUCCUACUUAUUCUGAUAAUGCUACUAUAUUCAGUAAUAUUUGACUUAACUAAUUUAUUCAAAAAUGUCUGCCGGAACUUAUUAAUCUUCUAAAACAUAAUCUUCGAUAACUAUUUCCAGAAGUAGUAUGAGAUAGAAUGAUCUGAAUAGAUUUUGUUAUGUAACUAAACAGAGUAAAGAGUGAGAGAAAUGGUAUUGGGCCUACGGUGGAGGUUGUAGAUGAAACAAUGAAUUGUAUAUAAAAUUGUUCUUUUCUACAUAAAUACAUACAUACAUAUAUGUAUAUAUCUAUCCAUCCAUCCAUCUAUCUAUCUAUCUAUCUAUCUAUCUAUCUAUCUAUCUAUCUAUCUAUCUAUAUAUAUAUAUAUAUAUAUAUAUUUAUAUAUAUAUAUAUAUAUAUAUAUAUAUAUAUAUAUAUAUAUAUAUAUAUAUACAUAUAUAUACAUAUACAUACACACACGCAUACACACACACACACACAUAUAUAUAUAUAUAUAUGAGAGUAUUGUAGUUCGCUUUAAGCAUUGUGUAUUAUUUAUAAAGAAUAAAAAGUUUUGAAUGGUACAACAGUGCACUAUAAUACAAACAAUGCGCUGUAUACCUGUUGUAAUUUAGUCAUCCAUUGUCUGAUGUGAUAUUUCGGAAUAAAAUUCCUUCUUCAGAUAUUCUUAGAUGAAGUCGCUGCUAUAAUCGGUUAUAUAUAUAUAUAUAUAUAUAUAUAUAUAUAUAUAUAUAUAUAUAUAUAUAUAUAUAUAUGUAUGUAUAUGUAUGUAUGUAUGUAUGUAUGUAUGUAUGUAUGUAUGUAUACAUAUAUAUACUUACAUACAUACAUACAUACAUACAUGCAUACAUACAUACAUACAUACAUACACAUAAUACAUUAAACGUCAGUUUCAAUCUUGCUUGCUUGCUUGCUUGCUUGCUUGCUUGCUUGCUUGCUUGCUUGCUUGUUAUGUUAUUCAGCGAAAUUGGCGCAUGAUGGAGAAAAUGUUCCGAAUAUAAUCUUCAUCCUGAAAGGGAAGAAACUCUUAUCUUUCUAUUAGACAGUGGUUUGACAACGCAAAAAUAAAAACGAUUUCUUUUCUUUUUUUUUUUUUUACAAUUUCUAUUUUCGCUUUUGUUUAACACAAUAUUUUAAUCAUUUACAAAUAUCUUUAAGUGAAUGUUAUUUCAAAAAUGUAAGCUGUUUGUACAGUAAAUAUGUAUAUUUUAGCAUUCUUUAAACAGACAAUAUUUUAAUGUUUUUAAAAAUUAUUUUCAAGUGAAUACCGUUUAUAAAAUUUUUUUGGUAUAUUCAAAAAAUAUUCUAAAGUCAAAAUGACUUGAAAAAUACGGUAGAUAUUUUGUAAAAGACCCGAUCGUAACCUCAGAGUGAAAUAGUAUUUUUUUGAGUACAUUCAACGUAUCACCACUCCAAAGAUUUGUCCGCUAUUUCUAGCACGCCCUGCUACCACGUAACAGCUAUUUGCGAUAAAGGACCCGAAAUACCUGUUACGUGGUAGCAGGGCGAACAAGAAAUUGUAGGCAAAUCUUUCCAACCCACGAAACAAACUCUUUUUGCUGUGAAACUCAGAGUUUCACGGUGACCCAACGGGUCACAAGUAGUCUAGUUUAGUAUAUAUGUGUGUGUGUGUGUGUGUGCGUGCGUGUGUGUGUGUGUGUGUGUGUGUGUGUGUGUGUGUGUGUGUCUGUGUGUGUGUGUGUCUGUGUGUCUGUGUGUCUGUGUGUCUGUGUUUGUCCCCCAACAUCGCUUGACCACCGAUGGUGGUAUGUUUACGUCCCGUAACUUACUAGUUCGGCAAAAGAAACCGAUAGAAUAAGUACUAGGCUUACAAAGAAUAUGUCCUGGGGUCGAUUUGUUCGACUAAAGGCCCUGCUCCAGCAUGGCCGCAGUUAAAUGACUGAAGCAAGUAAAAGAAUAAAAGAAUAAAUGAAUAUACAUACAUAUACAUUUUUAUUAAAGCUGCAACAAAAGCAUCACAAAAAAAAAUGCUACUCAAAGUUUCACGUUCCCAUUCGUUGUGCUACACCUGUAUCACAACUGCCCGACGAAGGUUUUUGCAGCUUCAAUAAAAAAAAAAUGCACAUAACCUUCGGUAUUCCAGGACUAAUUUUCCCACCUUGUUUCGCAUUUAUAUACUUACUCGUAUAUAUAUAUAUAUAUAUAUAGUUAAUCGAUUUUGUUAUGUAACUAUUAUAGCUAAUAGAUUUUGUUAUGUAACUAAACAAAGUAAAGAAUGAGGGAAAUGGUAUUGGGCCUACGGUGGAGGUUGUAGAUGAAACAAUGAAUUGUUUAUAAAAUUGUUCUUUUCUACAUAAAUACAUACAUACAUAUAUGUAUAUAUCUAUCCAUCCAUCCAUCUAUCUAUCUAUCUAUCUAUCUAUCUAUCUAUCUAUCUAUCUAUCUAUCUAUCUACCUAUCUAUAUAUAUAUAUAUAUAUAUAUAUACGUACAUAUAUAUAUAUAUAUGCAUAUACAUACACACACGCAUACACACAUACACACAUACACACACACACACACACACACACACACACACACACACACACAUAUAUAUAUAUAUGCAGGAGUAGCUGUGUGGUAAGAAGUUUGCCUCCCGACCACAUGUUUCUGGGUUCAGUCCCACUGCGUGGCACCUUGGGCAAGUAACUUGUACUAUAUUCUCGGCACGACCAAAGCCUUAUGAGUGGAUUUUUUCUUUCGUAUACAUACAUACAUAUAUAUAUAUAUAUAUAUAUAUAUGAGAGUAUUGUAGUCCGCUUUAAGCAUUGUGUAUUAUUUGUAAAGAAUAAAAAGUUUUGAAUGGUACAACAAUGCACUAUAAUACAAACAAUGGGUUAUAUACCUGUUGUAAUUUAGUCAUCCAUUGUCUGAUGUGAUAUUUCGGAAUAAAAUUCCUUCUUCAGAUAUUCUUAGAAUGGAGUCGCUGCUAUAAUCGGUUAUAUAUAUAUAUAUAUAUAUAUGUAUGUAUGUAUGUAUGUAUGUAUGUAUGUAUGUAUGUAAAAACACAACAACGCGAGGACGUGGAACAAAUAUAGUAUUAUUGGAUGCUCAGGAAAGAAGGAAUAUAAAUAUAUAUAUUUUUGAAAAGUAAAAAUUUUGCAUUAUGUAGCUUGUUAUUCUCUUUAAGUGAACAUUUUUCUGGUUGAAAUACACGAAAAAUCGCGACAGUCAAAAAAUCGUUAAAAAAUAGGGCUUUUCAUAGAAAAAAAGCACCUUUUUGAUGUAAAUAAUUUUUGGUGUUAACAUGGUCCGAUUUGAAUUUUUUCUUCUACGGAAGAAAGAGCAAGCCUUCUUCUAUCAUUCUCUCAAUUUUGGUCAACUUGCGCUGCAGGGUCUCGGAAGAGAUAGUGUUAGUUGAAGGCUACCAAACCUGCCAUACACAGACAACUUCAGCUUUAUAUAUAUAGAUAAUUGGAAUGUGUUCACAAAGUACAAACGAUCAAUAGGAAAAAACCCUCCAGGCUACAUCCCGAAAAUUCAUUUCUUUGCCGAAUUUCUACAAUGUUUAUGGCGAUUCGUUUUUAUAUCUUGAUUUUUUAUUUUUCAUGCAAUUUACGCAUGCUUGCACGCGUGGUGAACACAGUUCAUGUCAAACAGUUGACUGAGUAAAGUUCACUAUUCAAUGCAUGGGAUAAGGCCUAAACAAACACAUUAUCGAUUUUUGCACUUGCGAGAUGAAUUUCGGAACAGAAAUAGCGCAGUUCAAUUUUCAUUCGCCUAAACUUUAAGUGACCCAUUUUUGGUGGUUCUACGAUUUGUUGGCGAGGAGGAGAUGUGCCGGGAAGUUAAACACACAGACACACAAGUUGAGUUUUAUAUAUAUAUAUAUAUAUAUAUAUAUAUAUAUAUAUAUAUAUAUAUAUAUAUAUAUAUAUAUAUUAUAUAUAUAUAAAUAUGUAUAUAUGUAAAAGAGAAUAAUAUAUAUAUAUAUAUAUAUAUAUAUAUAUAUAUAUAUAUAUAUAUAUAUAUAUAUACAUACGAGUUAUCUGUUUGUAUAUGUGGUCACGGAAAGAGAAGUGGGUGUUGUCCACGAUAAUGGACAAAAGUUGAUGUAUAUCAGCUGCGAUAAGUGCGAAGUAGUGGAUGUCGGAUGCUACUAUGCAGUCAAAUCAAAAUAAGCAGCAGGAUACCAGGAUAUCCUUGUUGCUUAUUUUGAUUUUGUUCACCUUACUUCAAGCUGAGCGGAUAACACUGGACUGACUUGGUGCUUCAACUUAAGUACCUAAUUCAACCGAGUUUUAAUUAUUUCUUCUUUUUACACAUACAUACAUAUAUAUAUACAUGCAUAUAUAUAUAUAUAUAUUUAUAUAUAUACAUAUAUAUAUAUAUAUCGCCCAUCCAACUGGACGCCGCCCCCAGGCCAAUUCAAUAGCCUAGAUUUGUUCGUGAACGACUGCAACGCGUUGGUCAACCAGUUUAACUUUAAAAAAAGACCUCUCCGAGACAACCUCACUCGGGCUGAAUUGAUUGCCCUUCACCACCUCCGUCGCCGCAAUGACAUUGUCAUCAAACCGGCAGACAAAGGCGGAGCAGUGGUGGUGUGGCGCGCAGAUCUAUACAGGGAGGAAGCGCUCAGCCAGCUUCAAAAUCCCCUCUUCUAUCGCCUCCUCCCAUCCGAUCCCACCUCUUCCUACCAACAGCGAGUGUCCUCCACCAUCCACGAACUCAUCUCCUCUUCUGCUCUACCCCCACCGCCACCAACCUCAUCGUCCGCACACCCCGCACCUCCACCAUCUAUUUCCUUCCCAAAAUUCAUAAACCCAAUAACUCUGGCCGCCCCAUCGUUUCCGCCUGUAAUUGCCCCACUAAACACCUUUCCCUAUACCUCGACCGCACCCUGUCCCCCUUAGUCGCAACCCUCCCACAUACAUGACACCAACCACGCCCUCCGUCUCUUCAAUUCCUUUUCCUUCUCUUCCAGCCCCUCACACCUCCUCUUCACCUUAGACAUAAAAUCACUGUAUACGGUAAUUCCCCACAACGACGGUCUCUUAGCCCUCCAGCACUUCCUCGACCGUCGUGCCGACCCCACCCCCAGCACCCCCACUCUUCUCCGCCUGGCAAAGCUCGUCCUCAUGCUCAACUGUUUCACGUUCGCCGGGGAAACGUACCAACAGUAUCUGGGGUCGCGAUGGGAACGAGAAUGGGCCCCAAUUUCGCCAAUCCCUUUGUUGGCUACAUUGAGGCCCAAGUAUUCUCCCAAUUCUCCCAAUACAUACAUACAUACACACACAUACAUACACACACAUACAUACACACAUACACACAUACACGCAUGCACACAUACAUACAUACACAUACAUACACACACACACACAUACAUACAUACACACACACGCAUACAUACAUACAUAAAUACAUGCAUACAUACACACAUACACACACAUACAUAUAUACAUACAUACACACAUACAUACAUACAUACAUACAUACAUACACACACACACACAUACACACACACAUACACACACAUACAUACAUACAUGCAUAUGGAGUUGGCUGUAUUGCAGGCGUGCGUCAGUGUGUGUAUGUGUGUGCCUGUGGAUUCACAUACACCCACACCAAUUUUUUUCCAUCAAUCUUUCAAUUAUAAAGUGUGUGCUUUCAUACAUAUAUAUAUACACACAUAUAAACAUAUAAACACACAUAUAAACCUCUACAUUUGUACACACACGCACAUAUAUACAUACAUUCACUCGCACGAACGUACACACACACGCACACACACACAUUUACAUAUAUAUAUAAUACACGCACACACACAUACACACGUACAAACACACACAAAUUCACAUACACACCGACACAUAUACAUACACACAAUAUAUACCUACACGCGCACGCACACAUAUACAUACGUACACACAUAUAAGCACAGACACACACACACAUACGCGCGCAAAAAAACAUGCGCACACAUACGCACGCACACACGCAAAACUCACAACCCCACGGAUACACGCAUAUACAUCCAUAUACGCUUACACACACACACAUACAAACGCACACAUACACGCACACACAACUACACGCACAUGCAUACACACACACACACAAAUGAACCCACGCAUACAUCCCAUACACACGCACACAAUUAUACAUACAUACAUAUAUACAGACACACGCACGUACAAGCAUACACGCACACAUACACUAAGUUAAGCACAGUUACUCGCCACACACCCAAACUCUACGCAUACACACAUGAACACACACAUACACACACACACACACACAUACACACACACACACUACAAACAAAACACACACACGAUACAUAUACAUACACACACACACCUCUUUGUUUUUGACCUGUGGCUGGACACAAAAAACACCACUCCUUAUUCUUACAUACUGGCCAGCUACUCGCCAGUUGUUCGCCAUACACACAUACACACACACACACGCACACACACACACACGUGUCAUCAUUACACACAUACACACACGCGCGCGCACGCACACAUCCACACACAUUCCCCCUCUCACUUUCCUUGUCUUUGAAAACUCUCCUGUCUUUAAAAAUAUUAUUCUUCCACCUUUCUACUUCCGAUCUUUCAAUAUGUGACCUCGUGAGUACCGCUGCCGAUUUUUUUCCUCUGUCUUCCCUUCUCGGGAUCUUUCCUUCUCCUAUGUUUCCGACGAAGAGUUACGCUCGAAACGUUAAACCCUCCUUCUUCCCUUCUUUCCUGAGCGUCCAAUAAUACUAUAUUUGUUCCACGUCCUCGCGUUGCUGUGUUUUUUUGUUUUUUUUGUGUUUUCUUGUUUGGAUUAACUUUCGACAUGUUGAAUCGCUAGUUUCUGCACGCAUUUUUUUUCUCUCCUUGUUUCGCUCCGUGUUUCUUUUCUGUGUAUCUUUCUGUUGAAGAGCGUAGGCUCAAAACGUAAAAGACUUGUUUUAUUUAUAUUCCUGAGCGCCAUACUAAUACAAUUGUUUGUUUGUACUCCACUUGCCUUCGUCUUUUGUUUAUUUUCAUAAAGCUUCCCGUUAUAUAUAUAUAUAUAUAUAUGUAUACAAAUAUAUAUAUAUAUAUAUAUAUAUAUAUAUAUAUAUAUAUAUAUAUAUAUAUAUAUAUAUAUAUAUAUAUAUAUAUAUAUAUAUACAUAUAUAUAUAUACAUACAUAUAUAUAUAUAUAUAUACAUACAUAUAUAUAUAUAUAUAUAUAUAUAUAUAUAUAUAUAUAUAUUGUGUGUGUGUGUGUGUGUGUGUGUGUGUAUAUAUGUAUAUAUAUAUAAUAAUAAUAAAUAUUAGGGAAUAAAUCCAAAUUUACAGGGGAAAAUCAGAUUUAUGAACGAGAAUGGGCCCCAAUUUCGCCAAUCCCUUUGUUGGCUACAUUGAGGCCCAAGUAUUCUCCCAAUUCUCCCAAUACAUACAUACAUACAUACACACACACACACACACAUACACACAUACACACAUACACGCAUGCACACAUACAUACAUACACAUACAUACACACACACACACACUAAUUAAUAUGUAUACAUAUUCUUACAUACUGGCCAGCUACAAAGUAUUAUUGGACGCUCAGGAAAGAAGGGAAGAAGGAGGGUUUAACGUUUCGAGCGUAGCUCUUCGUCGGAAACAUAGGAGAAGGAAAGAUCCCGAGAAGGGAAGACAGAGGAAAAAAAUCGGCAGCGGUACUCACGAGGUCACAUAUUGAAAGAUCGGAAGUAGAAAGGUGGAAGAAUAUGUAUAUGUAUCGUGUAUGUGUUUUGAAUUAAUUUCUCAUAUAAACUGCACGCACUAUUAGCAUGUAUUAUAUAAUGUAACAGAGCAGGUUUGGUUGUGAAAUUAAGAAGUUUCCUUCUCAACCAUAUAUAUUAAACAGCCGAAAUCUGCGAUGAGGGAUCAGUUUCUGACUGAAGAAUGAAGGCUUUGAAUGACCCGUUUGUCUUUUUGUUCGUCCCUUCGUGUCUCUAAUUAAUAUUAUAUAUAUAUAUAUAUAUAAUAAACCUUUACAUAAAUAAAUAACGUGAAAUACACGAAGGGACGAACAAAAGGACAAACGGGUCAUUAAAAGCCUUCAUUCUUCAGUCAGAAACUGAUCCCUCAUCGGAGAUUUCGGCUGUUUAAUAUAUAUGGUUGAGAAGAAAACUUCUUAAUUUCACAACCAAACCUGCUCUGUUACAUUAUAUAAUACAUGCUAAUAGUGCGUGCAGUUUAUAUGAGAAAUUAAUUCAUUUAUCAAAUCUUAAAGAAAACUAUCUAGAUUUUACAUGACGCCUUCGGCUGCUCCAAGUCUCCGGGAAUUUUAGUAACUUUCUAACGAAAGAAAUAGCACUUGGAAAUACCAAUGGGGAAGAUUUACUUAUUGAGGAGCUCAAGUUUCCAGGGAGUGGUCAAGUCGCUUAGGUUUCCGGAUCAAGAAGAAUCUGAGAGGCAGUAUCAAGUAAGGAGACUGUCACGGACUGACAGAGUUAUGUACAUAGCCAAAUGAGGGCGUGCCACUCUUCCUCGUUAUCUUCGCACACGAAAAAAUUUCCACCAUUAGCUUACUGGUAACAAGUGUGCGCACUCGCACACACACGCACACAUACACAUACACACAAACACACACAAAUGCAUACACAUAUACAUUCACUCAAACGCACACAGACUCAUAUAUUAAGUAUUUUAUGUAUAAAUACAUAUACGGGCGCGUGGGCAUGUGUGUGACUGUGUGUGUGAGUGUGUAUAUAAGCCAAAGUGGACAGAGGAGAAUUUAUUACCCAAGGUGUCCAGAAUGUAAAACCCUAUAAGGUCGCAAAUAUCAGCGCUGUCGUAUGUCCCCAUCGCGACGUCGAAUGAGCCUUCAGGGUCAGUUCGUUUGACCCAGGUUAAAUCCUGGUUGAAUAGUAGCAUUUUCCUAGCGUGCAUAAUUAUAUCUUUUUCUCUAUCAUUUAUGUCGGUAAUUCGUCUAGCAUAUACUAACGUCCUAUCAAGUAACAUUUUCGAUAUCGAUGGAUAAAUGUCUACUAUAUCGAAUUGUAUGAAAUUAGCUCUAAAAGUGUUUCGUGUGGUCUCAAACCAAUGUGACACCUCGAUUGUGUUACGCCAUAAAGAGAAAUUAGAUACCUUCCUUAUGUCUUUAUUAACCCUUCUUAGGACGUGUUUACUCACCAGUCCGAUUUCGGACUUGGCAGGGUUAAUCAAGCGUCAUUUAGGGUUGGAAGCGAAAUUCGGCUUAUGAUCCUUGAUAGUUAUAAAGGCAUUACGUUUAGAUAGUAUUUCUACCCUGACGGUAAUGUCCAGGUCGGUAGCUAUUCAUUUUGCCUCAUUAUUGAUGUUAUCAUAGGUAUGUGGUGCGGCCCGUCUAUAUUUUUGUGCGGUGUUAUUCUCUAAGAGCCUGUUGUAGUAAUCAUUAUCUAUCUUAUAAAAGUUAUUUGGCUUAUCUGAAAAUAGUAGGGUUCUAUCAGAAUUCUUAAGGAGGUGUAUAUCGUAUCUAAGUCAACGUUGAAAGGUGGACGGGGACUUACGGAACUUAAGGUUUGGUAUAAUGCCCAGCAGGUCUUCUUCGAAAACUUCGAGUUCUUUGAUCUUGAGUAGGAAUCUUCUAGACCUGAUGUUAAAGUGGACUUUGUCCGAGUGUCGGGCAGCUUGGUCGAAGAAAAAAGCUUUCCACCUCAUGCAUCAUAUAAAUAAUAUCAGUAAUUUUUCGAAGUAGCAUUCUUUUGUAUAGUUGUUCAUUUGAUGGCGUAGGAAUAUUUUUAAACGAAUAUCCAAUGUCGUGUAAAUCCAUUAAUGUGGAGAAUAUCACAGAUAAUUCGUGAUAAUGUAGAAGCGCCCAACCGGUGGUGGAGUUGUGAGGAACGGACUUGGUAGCGGUCUGUUAUCAUACACUUUGUGACUGGGGAGCGAAGAAUCUUCGUUACAAUAUCAUAAAUUAAGAGACAAGCAUACCCUAUAAAAUAUAUGCCUAAUUCACGCUAGAUAUGAAACCAAUUGUUUCUAGACUAUUACGUUACACAUACAAAUAUAUAUAUAUAUGGUUGAGAAAGAAACUUCUUAAUUUCACAACCAAACCUGCUCUGUUACCUUAUAUAAUACAUGCUAUUGGCGCGUGCAGUUUAUAUGAGAAAUUAAUUAAUUUAUCAAAUCUUAUAGAAAACUAUCUAGCUUUUAUAUGACGCCUUCGGCUGCUCCAAGUUUCCGAGAAUUUUAGUAACUUUCUUAUUUCUUUAUUCCCCACAACGGGCUAAACAUAGAGGGGACAAACAAGGACAGACAAAGGGAUUAAGUCGAUUACAUCGACCCCAGUGCGUAACUGGUACUUAAUUUAUCGACCUCGAAAGGAUGAAAGGCAAAGUCGACCUCGGCGGAAUUUGAACUCAGAACGUAAAGACAGACCAAAUACCGCUAAGCAUUUCGCCCGGUGUGCUAACCUUUCUGCCAGCUUGCCGCCUUUCUAGAAUUUUAGUAACUUUCUAAUGAAAGAAAUAGCACUUGGAAAUACCAAUGGAGAAGAUUUACUUAUUGAGGAGCUCAAGUUUCCAGGGAGUGGUCAAGUCGCUUUGGUUUCCGGAUCAAGAAGAAUCUGAGAGGCAGUAUCAAGUAAGGAGAUUGUCACGGACUGACAGAGUUAUGUACAUAGCCAAAUGAGGGCGUGCCACUCUUCCUCGUGACCUUAGCACAAGAAGAAAUUAACCCCAUUAGCUUACUGGUAACAAGUGCGCGCGUACACAUACACACGCACACAUACCCGCACACAUACACACACGCGCGCACACACAUACAUAAACACGCAUGCGCACAAACACACAAAUGCAUACAUAUAUACAUUCACUCAAACGCACACAUACUCAUAUACUAAGGAUUUUAUGUAUACAUAUGCAUGUAGACGCGUUGACAUAUGUGUGUGAGUGUGUGUUUGAGUGUGUAUUUAUAUGUGUAUAUAAAUACAUAGAUACAUAUAUAUGUGUGUAUAUAUAUACAUAUAUAUAUAUAUAUAUAUAUAUAUAUAUAAAGAAGAU